rnacentral:telomerase_RNA from 15 species
GGGUUGAGAAUGGUGGGCCGGGAGGGGAGGUGGGCAUGUUUUGUCUAACCCUAACUAGGAGGAGGACGUAGGCGCCGUGCUUUUGUUCCCCGCGCGCUGUUUUUCUCGCUGACUUUCAGCGUGCGGAAAAGCCUUGGCCUGCCGUCGACCACUGUCUAAUUAAAAGCAAACAAAAAAUGUCAGCGUGGCCGGUCCGCCCCUCCCGGGUACCUGCGGCAGCUCGCCCGGCUGGCCCCCGAGCCCCGCCCAGGGCCACGGCUGGCGCGGGGCUUCUCCGGGAGCGCCAUGGCCGCCGCGAAGAGUUCGUCUCUGUCAGCCGCGGGUCGCGCGGGGGCCGCGGGGGAGUCCUAGGCCGAGUGGCCGCAGGAAGAGAAACGGAGCCUGUCCCUGUGCACGGGGCGCUUCUCUGAGCUGUGGGAAGUGCCCCGAGACUCGGCUCCUACAAGC